UAGACUUUAUUAAGUGACAGAAAGCGCUCAGUAAGGAGAGGGGACUCAAAAGUGGGUUGCCCUAGGGGAUUAAAAACCUCAUUUCUAGGGGUGUGUUUCUCAUUUGCAUCUUGCACAACCUUUUACUUCCUAGUUGCUUCCUGGUCCCAGUUCUUACUGCCCAGGUGCGUUCUUGUCCAUAGUUAUUCCAUCUUAAUUAUUAUGCAUAAGCACCACAGAAAGGCCCAGUGGGUAGUAGGGGUGGUGGUGGUGAAACCACAAUGCAGAUGUCAUGCUAAUGAUAUUAUAAUGAGCUUGAGUCAAGUUAAGGACAUUUAGUUGAUUUAUUACACCUGCGCCUAAGUUGGGACAGUCCCUUCUGAGCAAACAUUCUGGUAUAAGAGGAAGUUCUUAACCACAUUUCCAUCUGCUAGCUGCAUAACAGGGGCAAUGCAGGUGCAUUCCUGCAUGCAUUGUCUCUCUCAUGAAGCCCUACAUCUCCAUCGUACCACUUGCAUACAUAAAAAAGCUUGGUAGACACUUGUGCACUGUAUGAGUCCGUUUUCAUGCUCCUGAUAAAGACAUACCCCAGACUGAGAAGAAAAAGAGGUUUAAUUGGACUUACAGUUCCACAUGGCUGGAGAGGCCUCAGAGACAUGGUGGGAGGCAAAAAGCACUUCUUACAUAGCGGCAACAGGAGAAAAUGAGGAAGAAGCAAAAGCGGAAACGCUGAUAAACCCAUCAGAUCAGGUUAAAGACUUAAACCUAAGACCU
rnacentral:lncRNA from 1 species